CAUGAGGGAGAUUGUGUGUAUCAGGCAGGCCAGUACAGGAACCAGAUCCAUACCAAAUUUUGGCAAGUGAUCAGCAAUGAGCUGCUGGAGGCUACCUUGGUGACUCAGUGCUGCUAUAGCUGGAGAAGACUGGAGUCUCCUACAAUGACUCAUGCUCUCAGAAGUGUAUGCCCAUAGAUGCCCUAGGGGAUAUGGAGCCCAGCACCACAGACAAUGUGAUGUCUGAGCCUUUGGGGCUGCUCUUCUGGCCUGACAACUUCAUCUUCACCAGGAACAGAGGAGUGUGAGCAUUGUAACUACCUGCAGAGCUUCUAACUCACACACUCAGUGGGCAGCACAAGGGCUCAGGCAUAGGUGCACAGCUCAUCAGCAAGAUCUGAGAGGAGUACCCAGAUUGCAGCAUGAACACCGUUGGAAUCAUAUGGUCACCUAAGGUCUCAGGCACCGUGGUGGAGCCCUAUAACAACACGCCACUGGUGCACUUGCUGGUGGAGAGCACCGGUGCAUCAACAACGGGGCCCUCUACCACAUCGCUUCCACAGGCUCAAGUUAAGCACACCCACCUACUGGGACCUCAACCACCCAAUAUCUGGCACCAAGACCAGUGUCACCACAUCUCUGCAUGUCCAUGUCCCCACCCCAGUCACCUCAACACCAACCUAUGCAAACUGGCCAUGAACACGGUGCACUUCCCAUGCCUGCACUUCCUCAAGCCCACUUCAACCCCUCACACUCAAGGCAGCCAGCAGGACUGUGUCCUGACAGUGCACACACAACAGAGGUUCAAAGCCAACCACAUGAUGUCUGCCUGUGACCCAGGCCACAGCUGUUACCUGACCUUUACCACCAUCUUCAGAAGCCCCAGCGUCCAUUAAGGAGGUGGGCAAGCAGAUUCUGGCCAUCCAGAACA
rnacentral:lncRNA from 1 species